GAACAGUGAGGCACUGCAGAAUCUGCAAAUAUAAGAUACGAGCUGCUUAGCAUGAUCUUUAAAUGAGCGAAGAAACUAAUUAUUAAAAACCAGAUUGUCAAACAGAGCUUUGGAUCGCUGAUAGCACAUGCAGAGAUAAAACACAAUUGCCAGUCCUAAAUCAAGUGAGAGAACAACUCCAAUUUGAAGGGGUUCGGGAGAGUAUAUUAGACCCCUCCAUAGACUCCACAAAGUGGGAAUCCUCAUUCACUAGGACAUGCAUGUAAGACAUAGCAAGCUUUUGAGACACUAAGCUGCGGUAGUUUCUCAUGAAUAAUAAUUAAGCAAACAUAAACUCAUAAAUUUCACAAGAAUAUCACCAUAUUGCUCUGUUAUGAACAAGACAUACUCAAAAUGAACACAAAUAGCAUAGGUUUCUAGAGAGGUGCCCUUGUGGAUCUAAUACAUUGUGUGCAAAUAAGAAAUAAUUGGCUACUCAAUUUUAGAUGAAGCAUUCAGAUCUUUACAGUAAAAGAUAACAAAAUUUUUUAGGAUAUGAGGAUGUCUUCAAGCAAGGUUGAAUGUGAACUUUCCAUACGUCAAAACAGAUGCUGUUAGAUACUAGCAGAGCACAUAUCAAGUUGUUCUUUCUUGUGACAAAUAUACAAAGAAUAACAGGCAAUCGAAUAAACGUUCGUAAUUUGUACUAUAAAAGGACGAAUUUUCCUCCCAGUAUUUCAAUAUUGAUCAUUUAACUUACUGGAAAGAAUCGAUAAUGGGUCUAUUUUUGAGUAAAACAAAUGUUCGCAAAAAAUAAUCCUGCUUCCUCGAACAUUAGUCAAGGUCUCGAAGGGGAAAAUAUUAGCAUAUUCAAGCAUCAGCAAAAAAAAAAUGUGCAGAUUGAUUUGGAAUAAGCAUACAACUCAA
rnacentral:misc_RNA from 1 species